rnacentral:rRNA from 1 species
UACGUAGGGGCAAGCGUUGUCCGGCUUUAUUGGGCGUAAAGAGCGUGUAGGCGGCCUGGUAGGUCAGCUGUGAAAACUCGAGGCUCAACCUCGAGACGCCGGUUGAAACCAUCAGGCUAGAGUCCGGAAGAGGAGAGUGGAAUUCCCGGUGUAGCGGUGAAAUGCGCAGAUAUCGGGAAGAACACCCGUGGCUAAGGCGGCUCUCUAGUACGGUACUGACGCUGAGACACGAAAGCGUGGGGAGCGAACAGG